AUGGCUUUCUCUGCAGGAUGCUGAGAGCAAUGCUGAAUGGUAAUAGAUAAAGCUCCCAGUUAGCCUGCCCAUUUCUACCAACCAUGGGAGCAGACUGCAAACCAGCAGGAUUCCUGGGUUCCUCUUCCAGGAGGCAAGGGUUUCUUAAAUGGCAUAUUGUCACAAGACCAAAAGAGACCUUUGGGACUCAUUCCAUCUGUCAGGCCAACAACUUUGUUGUUUCUGCCUACCUAAUGGCCUGAUAGGUGAAACCAUAAAGGAGAAACAGAAACAACAGAAAGCUGAAAUAAA
rnacentral:lncRNA from 10 species